rnacentral:lncRNA from 1 species
CUUAACACUUGUUUCACUUCACAUGUUGACUUUCUAAAAUGCUAAGGCCACAAUCAUGUAAGACCAAGAGGUAUGAAAGCUUUCCUGCUGUUCUUUUAUAGAUGUUUAUAGAAACAGCCUACUUUACCUCAAUGCUAACUACAACAGUAAACACCAUGCAGGCAGUGGCAUGCAGUCAUGGAUGCCAAGGGAAGCCAGGCUUCCCCCAAAAAUUCACCAAUAAAAAAAAAACGGAUGUAUAAUUUAUUUUUCGUCUCUGUGUUACAUUUAGCCUGAAGGAAUAUUAUGAAUCUCACAGGAGGAGAAAGCAUCCGAGCGAGCGAAACAGUGCCCCUGUCUCAGCCAUCUGAUGCUGUCUGGUCCAAACGAGUAUGACAUUGUUGCCGCCCGUAGCUUUGACGGCAAGCGAAGCCAGCGGAGAAUCUGGGUUCCUUGACGAAAAAAGUAGCAUAUGAGAGCAUAUGUCAUUGACAGAAAAAUGUGAACUGUUGCAUCUCGUGGUGUUGUUGUCCUCCGGUGGCUAGCCAGCCAGCUAGCUAAAAUUGGCCCUUUCUUUAAUUAGCCAUGGAUGUAGAUAGGGAUUUGGACUUGUGGUUUCACUUAAUUCUCUGUACUGGCCAAUGAUUAUAACGGCAACUCUGAUCCAACUAUUAAUUCAUACAUUGUUGUGCCCCUGGCCUGAGAGAAUGGAAGUUCAAUAUGUAGCUAGAUGUAGAAUGCUAAUGUUAACUAGCUAACGUUUCCCAUGAAUGGAAGUUAGGCAAUCGAGCAAGCAUUUUAGCCAGUUAGCCUAGGACAACAAAAAAUAAAAGCGUGUACUGUAUGACAAAGUGAUAUAUCAUUUCGUAAACAUGAAAGAGGGGAGGGUGGCAUUGGCGUUUCUCUACAAGUAGGGUGAGUCAACAUGUUUUUCUUCUUGCAUGAACACGCACACACGCAAACAAAAAUCAGAACCAUGGACAGCUACAUAUUUAGCUUAUGUUGACGACUAAAUAGUUUUUGGUAUCUUUUAGUUGUCACUGGCUUCCACAGUGAUUUUACCAACAGACCGCUGCAUGCAGGACCUGAGCCCUAGGACCAUGCCUCAGGACUACCUGGUAUGAUGACUCCUUGCUGUCCCCAGUCCACCUGGCCGUGCUGCUGCUCCAGUUUCAACUGUUCUGCCUGCGGCUAUGGAACCCUGACCUGUUCACCGGACGUGCUUGUUGCACCCUCGAC